UUCUCCUCACCUGGGUGCACAUUCUACCUUAGGGCGCUUUCUGCAGUCCUCACAUCUGCGCAGAGCCUGACUGCUGUUUCUAAAUUGUUCCCACCCCAUCGGGGGAAGGGGGAGAGGAAAUGAGAAGCAGCUAGCAAUCCCAAACUUCUCUAACUCCCUGUUUGAGUAAGAAUUCCAUUGUGCAAAAUCUGCUUAUCCUGACUGGCUCCCUAGUAAACCACAGUGAUGGCCACCUGCCUGGGCUCUCUCUACAAACAGUAGGUACAAAAAGCAUAACUUCACCUGGGUAGAAAGGGCUACUUAGUGGCCAGACAUUAAGGCACAGAUACCAAAUAUGUGUGGCCUUGUCUGCCUUCUUUGGCACCAAACCCUUUCCACUCUCCUACUGAACUUAAUUCAUGCAAAAUACACACAUACCACAAAGCUAAAUCAAACAUACAAUACGUAAAAGUAUAUUAAUCUGAAUUUUAACACAGAUGUCAGUGUGUUUAGUCUCCCAAAGCUGGAAGGAAACUCCAAAGAGAAGGCUUUGCUCCCUCAGAAGAAACAGAAAAACUGAUGUGCCAUGACAGCUCCUUUUUAAAAACCCACUUGAAGAUGAUACAGUUGCAACUAUAUCCACAGCCAUUCCCUCAUGUGUCACCUCACAAGAAUUAUAAUUUGCUCUAGCAAACAGGCUCUCAAUCAAAACAAGUUCCACCCACCUUCAAAGCAACCAAUAGCUGCCCACCUACCACCCUUCCUAAAACAGCCAAACAGAUCAGCUCUGUGGCCCGGCAAUCCCUACAAGGCACUGGGCAAUGAGGCAGCCUGCAGGUUUGCUCUGCAGGUUUUGAAGACAGACAAACUCUACCAAAUGCACCGGGCAAACUCAGGCUAAAAUCACCGAAGAGAACAGGAGGUGAGGGAAUGGGGAAGAGGACACAGACAGACUCACAAAGCUUCACAGUCUACAUUUGCUUAAUUCAUCUCUGGGUAGACCCCACGCACAGCUCUCAUUUUAUGCUUCUCAAUGCCACCUCUGCGUGGCCAGCUGGCUGAAUCAAAGGCUCUGGAACAUGCACUGUGAAUGGCGCGAUGAUUCAUAAACAUCUUUAGAAGGAGCUCAAGCAGCAAAGCCAGUGUCUCCGCGAGGCCAGGGGAAGAUCGCCUACCUGCAGGGGCUGAAUGGAUCAUCCAUGACUAAGAGAGGCUCUGAUUCCCUGGAUGACACCAAUGGCCGAAAUCCAGAGCAAGCCUGAAGUCCUCACUCUUAAUAAGUGAGGAGGAGAGCCUUCCCACCUGUGUCUGUUCUCCAACGAUGGCAGAAUUCACCUGCAAAGCACAGACCUGACAUUCUGUUGUUGGCUACUGGGGAGGAAGAAAAGGCAGCUGUGCCAGCUCUCCACCAAAGGGAGAAGGCGUGCAGUCCUACCUACUUCCUCUUUUGCCCAGGUCUAGAAGUGGCUACCAUUACACUCUUCAUUUGAAAAUCCAGACAACAGUCGAAACUGGGGCUCUCAGAGAGCUGGGUCCCUGUGACAGCCUAGAAGUGAUUCCUGACACACUUGUUUACACUAGUAUCUGAUGUUGGCCUCAUCAUUUGCUGUUCCUUUUACUGACUAUAGUUAGUUGGUGGUGAAUGACUUUUCUUUUAAUGUUCGUCAUUUCUAAGUGUAAGCUCAACAUUCUCAGUUUAUCUGUGGCCAUCCUGCACAAUCUUGCACAAGGGUAUAUGCUGUGGGAUGGUCUGUAUGUCAAAUGUGUUGCUCUGAUUGGUCAAUAAAUAAAACACUGAUUGGCCGGUAGCCAGGCAGGAAGUAUAGGCGGGAUGAACAGAGAGGAGAAUUGAGAAAACAGGAAGGUAGAGGGAGACACUGCCAGCCACCGCCAUGACAAACAGCAAGUGAAGAUGCCGGUAAGCCACAAGCCAUGUGGCAAGGUAUAGAUUUAUAGAAAUGGGUUAAUUUAAGAUAUAAGAACAGUUAACAAAAAGCCUAAGUCAUUAGGCCAAACAGUUUAAAUAAUAUAAGCGUCUAUGUGUUUAUUUUAUAAGUGGGCUGUCGGACAGCCGGGGCUUGGCGAGAAAACUCUCCAGCUACAAGUGGCGCCCAACGUGGGACACAAACCCUCGACCCUGAGAUUAAGAGUCUCAUGCUCUACCGACUGAGCUAGGUUCUGAAAAAUCCAUUAAUACCAACAGGUAUAUCCUUCCAAAAACUUCUUAAAUACUUUUCUAUCAUGGGGCUUCACCAGUAUGAGUGUACUUUUUAUUAUCUCCUCCUUGAGUCCUCAGACUUUCUGGGUCACACACAGGCUUCCUAGAGACCAACAACAAACCUGACCUAAGGCUCACACUAGACUUAUUUAAUAUUUUAUUCAAUAUCUGAGGAUGUUUUCAGGAAAAAAGUUACUGUAAUAAUCAGAUCUGGGCUUUUAUCCUAUUGUGCUGAAGGCCUUUUAGCACAAGGAAAACUUUCAGACAUGAGAGCAACCAAGAAAAUGCUUAUGCAGCUCUAGUGGCUCAUCCCCAAAGUUGCACAAAGAUCUUUCAGGAGAUUAAAGAAUGUGUAGGAAAAAAAAAAAAGAAUGUAGCACCUUGUCAAUGAAAAUAUAUAACUACUCCUAUAAUUAGCAAGAAGUUACAAAAAUUCCAAAACCUUACACAAGUCACCUGCAGGGUUAACUAUGACCACCUUCACAUGAUGGAUGCAGAACAGAUUCCAGGAAAUGAAUACCUCACUGACAGACAUAAAGAUAAAGUGGCCGCAUGAGACUAGAGCCUAGGCAUGCCAGAUUCAAAAGGAAACAGUCUUUCCCAGGGCUGAUCUUAACUCAAAAGAUGAAGCAGUCAAUUAAAUGGAUAUGAGGUACUAGGUGAAGCAAGUAAGGCCAGUGAAAAGAGACAAAGAACCAUGGUUAAGACCAAUCUAUUGCAAGCUCAACCAAAGACUCUGGGGUUUUGGCUGACUGUACAGCAGGUCUAACUGGUUCUGUUUACCAAGAUCUUCUUUCCUUUUUUGGGGGUGGGGAUUUUGAGAUAGGGUUUCUCUGUGUAACUACCCUGGCUGUCCUGGAACUUACUCUGUAGACCAGGCUGGCCUUGAACUCACAGAGAUCCACUUGUCUGCCUCCCAAUUGCUGGGAUUAAAGGAGUGAGCCAUCACUGCCUAGCCUGAAAUUUAUUUUGUAAGUAGUCAGUAGAGUUUGAAUUAGAUUCUUCAUAUAAAAGGAAAGCACAAUAACACUAUUUUGCAGAGAGCAAUCACCCACAGAAGUAAACGUGGGAUGAAUCUUGUUCACAUAAGACCAGUGAAUUUUCCCUGAGUAUGUGGAUGUCAGAAACAGACUCUGAAAUCAGAGCUGAAUACUGAGGGUUCGAGGUUAGGCUGCUGGAAAGCUCUCACAUGUCACUCACCCUUCACACUUUAUUUGAGCAGAAAGUUUAGCUCCUUAAAUGACAAGGGAAAAUGGAUGGGGUCACAUUCCCUUAUCUAAAUUUGAGACCCUUAGGGUCAGAGGUUUUUCAGGGUUAGGAACUUUCAAUCAUAAUGACCACAUGAUAUAGUAUAUAGCAUCCCAGGAGCACCUAAGCUAUAACUACAUUUUUUUUUAAUAAAAUGGGCAAAUUUACACAAAGUACACUAAAUUACAAGUAUAGUCUCAGAUCAGUGUAAGUGAGGUGUGGUCACAAAAUGAAUUCUGGUGUCACUGAACAUAAACUGUUAGGUUUUCAGAUCUUUUGCAUUUUAGAGUUGAAAAGAUCACAGAUCCAAUUAUUGUAGAUGGUUUUGUAACAAUUAGUAUUCUUGAUUUAAAAAGCAAACAAAAGAAAAUAUAUGGUAUUUUCUUUCCAAAACACCAGUCUUUGGUUGAGCUGCAAUAGAUUGGUCCUAUAAAUGAAAUUCACAUUAGGUAAAGCUAGAUUCCAUGUAUGAGAGAAAAUACACAUUAUAUAACUCCUCCCCCACAUGGCCACCCACCUACUUUCGUGUCCUAUAUAUAUAUAUAUUUGGAAAGACUUAAAUUCUGCAUAUGAGAAAAUGAGGGUGUUUGCCUUUCCUUUGUCUCCAUGACACUGUUGUUUCCCAUUAUCCCCUCCACUUUCCUAACUCUCACUCUCCCCUCACUCACAUCUCAUCAAAGAAAACAUAAGAUGUAGAGUCAGCAAAGGGCUUUCUCCCACUUAGUAGACUCUGUUUCCUUCGCUUACAGAAGGAUUUUACUUCAUGUAACAUCACUGGUCAAUUCUUACUAUUAUUUAGUAAGCUAGUAGAGUCUUCUUCAGUUUCAGGUCUUAUAGAGAACUGUGUCUAUGUUCUGGCAUCUUUUUUGAAAACCUGGUGGCUGUAGCUGGACUCUGUGCCAGGACCACCCUGUUGAUGUUCCUAUAGCUAGCUCUGUGGUAUACUUCCAGUCAGGUAUCACAAACCUCCCCAAGCUGCUCUUUCUGCUUAGAGUUGCUUUAGUUACUUACAACACUUGGUGCUUCCACCUAAGUUUUAAGAUUACCUUUAGUUCUAUAAAGAACAUCAAUGGAAAGUGAUGAGGAUGACACUAGUUCCAGACUGCUUUAGGAAUAAGCUAUUUACACAGUAUUAAUUUUGCAAUCUUAUAAGCAUGGGAGGUCUUUUCUUCUAAGUGUCUUUAGAGUAGAGGGCUUUAAAAAUUGUAUUAUUUUCUGCAUAUUUAUUUUAAUUUACAUGUGUUUAUAUGUACACUUGGGUGUCCAUGGAGACCAGACAAGGAUGUCAGAUCUCCAGGAGCUAGAGUUACAGGUGGUUAUAAGCCAUCUGAUGUAGGUGCUGGGAACUGAACCCAGGUCCUCUGGAAGAGCUUUAUGUGUUCUUAUAAGAGGCAUUACUCCAGCCCCAGUGCAGUGUUUUUAAAUUUUCCAUUAUAAAAGUCUUCCUUCUUUGAUUAGGUUUAUUCCUGGUAUGCAGGGGAAGGGGUAAAUCUGUGGCACUAGGGACUGAACACACAGCCUGCAUGUGCUAGUUCAGUACCCAGCCCCACCCCCCUGUUUUUUGGCUUUUCAAGACAGGGCUUCUCUGUGUAACAGGUCUGGCUGGCCUCAAACUCACAGAGAUCCAUCUGCUUCUGCCACUGUUGGGAUGAGUGCUGGGAUUAAAGGCAUAUGUCACCAUCUACCAGUCCAGCCCAGUUUUUCUUUAAAGCUACUGUGAAUGCAAUUUUUUUUCUUGAGUCCCCUUCUUGGUAAAUUCAUUAUUGGUAUAAGAAAAAACUAGCCAAAUUUUUUUUUGCAGUUUUUUUUUUAAUGUGUAUGAGUUUGCCUGCAUGUAUGUCUAUGCACCACAUGCUAGCCUAGUGUCCAUGGAGGAGGAGGGUGUCAGAUCCCCUGGAACUGACGUAACAGAUGGUCAUGAGCAACAAUGUGGAUUCUGGGAACCAAACCUGAGACCUCUGUAAGAACAGCAAGGGCUUUUAACAGUUGAGCCAGCCCCUACUUAAACUGUUUUUAUCUUCAUUUUAGAUGGCCCUAUAAGGAAUCAAUUUUUUUUUUUUUAAUUUUAUUUAUUAUGUAUACAGUGUUCUGCCUACACAUAUGCCUAUAGGCCAGAAGAGGGCACCAGAUCUCAUUAGAGAUGGUUGUGAUCCACCAUGUGGUUGCUGGGAAUUGAACUCAGGACCUCUGGAAGAGCAGCCAGUACUCUUAACCUCUGAGCCAUCUCUCCAGCCCAGGAAUCAAUUUUUACUACCUUUAUGAGGGUCUGUUUUCUCUAGCAAAAUGAAAUUUGAGCUUUUCAUUUUCAAACAUAGGCCAUGCAUGUACUAAGAACGUAUUUGAUAGUAACAUUGCAAGUCACUGUCCCUCUCUCUCACUCUUGGGCCUUAUGCAUGUUUUGCAAGCAUUCUACCACUGAGCUACAUUCCAAACCCUUUCUACUUUUAAUUUGGAGGGAAGGUCUUAUCAAGUUGCCCAGGCUGGUUCUAAAUUUACUCUGUAGCAAAGGUAGAUAUUGAACUUGUGAUCCUCUUGCCUCAACCUCCCAAGUAGCUUCGAUUACAAGCCUGAGCCACCAGAUCGGGCAGUCUCUUAUAUUAUGAAAUGUUAGUUUUAAAUAUGUACAAUAUCAUGUCUUUUAUUACCCAAGGAAAGUAUGAGUGAACUCAAACUAGCAUUCCUGUGUUAGGCAAACUGAAUGCUGUUUUAGUGAGAUCAUAUUUAUUUAUCCAUUUUUUCCUAAUAUUUCCAGCUUCUGAAAUACAGCUUAUUCAACAUAUUCCCUCAUAAUUCUCAGGACUUCAUUAUUACCUGAAGUAAUGUUCCAAUUUUCAUCUCUAAUGUAUUAAUCCAAGUUGUUGCUUCUUGUCAAUUUAAAUUUUCAAAGAACCAGCUCGUUGACUUAUUGUACUGUUUUUAAGGCUCUGCUUCAUUAAUUUCUUUCUGGAUCCUAAUUAUUUCUAUCUACUGGUUUUUGGUUGGUUAGGCUUGUUCUUGUUUUUCUAUGACCUUGAAGUGCAUCAUUAAACCUAAUGUUAAUGUCGAUAUCUCUGUGGUUUUUAAAGCAAGAAUAGUUUAUUGAGUAAUUUUGCAAGAGGGCAGUGUCUAGAAUGCUGCAUGUAACAUACAGCUGUCUCUUGAUAUUUAAUGUAAGCCUUCAUAGCAGUACAUGUCUUUGUAGAACUGCCUUCAUGGCAUCCCAGAGGUUCAGUUAAGUAGUGUUUUCAUUUUCAUGUGCUUUUAAGAAUUUUUAAAUUCCAGCUCUAAUUUCUUCAAUGACCCACUGUUCAUUCAUGAGUAUGUGUAUAGAGUGUGUGUGUGUGUGUGUGUGUGUGUGUGUGUGUGUGUGUGUGUGUGUGUGUGUGUGUUUUCAUUCACAUGUGUGCACAAGCCAGAAGACACCAACUCUGUUUCUUUUGAAGGGUCUAUGUAGUCCUGGCUGUCCUGGAACUCUCUCUGUAGACCACGCUAACCUCGAACUCAGAGAUCUGCCUGUUUCUGCCUCCUGAGUGCUGGGAUUAAAUGUUGUAUGCUACCACCUCCUGACCAAGAAGGUCUUUUUAUUGACCUGGAACUUGCCAACUAGACUAGACUGGCUGACCAUCAAGCUCCAGUUUCUGCCUCCCUGAUGCUAGGAUUGUAAGGGAAAGCACCACAAUGCAUGCUUUUAUUUACAUGGGUUCUGCAGACUGAAUUUGGAUCCUCAUGUGUGCCAAGCAAGCGUUUUCCUGGCUGAGCUAUCUCCUGAGCCCAUAGUUUCUGUAAUUUCUUUUGCUAUUGGUUUUGAACCUUAAUCUGCUAUGAGUUAAUAAAAUCUAAAAUAUCAUUUUAAUGGUUUUUCUUUGUUAGGAUUUGAAAAAUACAUUUUUAAGAUUUACUUAUUUUAUUUUAUACAUAUGAGUGUUCAGUCUGGAUGUAUGUACAUAUACCAUAUGCAUGCCUGGAACAGGCCCAAGAUCCUGGGAAUGGUGCAAUCUCCUAAACUGGAGCCGCAACAGUUGGGAGCCAUCAUGUGGAUCCUGGGAAUCAAAUACAGAUCCUCUGUGAGAGCAACAAGUGCUCUACGCUGCCAAACCAUCUCUCCAGCCCCUGUAAGGAUUUCUGUAAUGACCUAAAAUGUAUUUGUUUAUGGAAAGAUUGUGUGUUUUGCAGUUGUUUUCUAGGCAUCUGUUAAAUCCCUUUGCUCUGCAGUGUGGUUCUAACCCUGAAGUUUCUUUGUUGAUUUGUGGAGUUGGAACAGGAGAUGUGGAUGACCAUAUUCAUUGAUGACAAUGAGCUACUAAAAAUCACCCAUUAUCAUUUUUAUUUCUACCUAUCUGGACCUUUCUGUGAAGCAGUAUUUGUUUUAGCCUCAAUGUUCAGUGCACAUCUAUUUGCAACUGUUAUAAUCUCCUAAUGGAGCCUGGUGCCUUUAAUCCUGGUACUCAGGAGGCAGAAGCAGGUAGGUCUCUAUGAGUUUCAGGCCAGCUAGGUCUACGUAGUGAGACCCUGUGGGGUGUGUGUGUGUGUGUCUGUGUGUGUGUGUGACUGAAAACAACAAAAAUCUCCAAAUAAACUGUUCCCUUUGCUGCUGCACAGUGACCUUCAUCUCUUCUAAGGCUUGGCAUCAUUUUAGCACAUGGAACCAGGGCUCUCCCUGCUUGUUUUCAGUGUCCAGGUGAUUGGCAUGCUAACAGGUGUUCUGGUUUCAUUUUUGUUGUGAUAAAACAUUCUGACAAAAAGCAGCAUAGGGAAAGAAAGGUUUGUUUUAGCCUACAACUCUAGAUCAUCACUGAAGGAACUUCAAGGCAACCCUGCUUGCCAUUCCACACAAGCAGCAAAUCUAACCAAGAAACUCACUUCAUAGCCAAAGAAGGACAGCAGUAACCAUGAAGACAUACCUAAUUAGCUUUCUUUACUUUUCUUUUUUUGAUUUUUCAAGACAAGGUUUCUCUUUGCAGCCUGGCUGUCCUGGAACUUGCUCUAUAAAUCAGGCUGGUCUCAAACUCAGAGAUCCACCUGCCUCUGCCUCCCGAGUACUAGGAUUAAAGGUCUGUGCCACCACCACCUGGCUUUUCUUUUUUCUCUCUGUCUUCUAAAAAAUUUAUUUAGGUUUUUAAAUUAAUUUUAUUUAUGUGUACUUGUGUUUGCCUACAUUAGUUUAUGAGUAGCAUGUGUGUGCAGAAACCUACAGAGGCUAGAAAAGGGUAUGAGAUUCUUUUUCUGUAACUGAAGUUAUAGGUAGUUCUGAGUCACCAUGUGAGUGCUGGGAACCGAACUUGGGUCCUCUGUAAGCAUAGCAAGCACUCUUGACUGUUGAGCCAUCUCUCCAUUCCCUUAGCUAGUUUUUCUUUCUUUCUUUGUUUUUCCACAAGACAGGGUUUCUCUGUGUAACAGGCCUGGCUGUCCUGGAACUCACUCUGUAGAUCAGGUUGGCCUCAAACUCAAGAGAUCCGCCUGCCUCUUCUUCUUGAGUACUGAGACUAAAGGUGACCAACACCACCAUCCAGCUUAUCUAGCUUGCUUGCUUUCUUCCUUUCUUUCUUUAAAAAAAAAAGAUUUAUUUAUCAUGUAUAGUGUUCUGCAUGCAUGUAUGCCUGAAGGCCAGAAGAGGGCGCCAAAUCUCAUUACAGGUGGUUGGGAGCAACCAUGUGGUUGCUGGGAAUUGAACUCAGGACCUCUACAAGAACAGCCAGAGAUCUUAACUGCUGAGCCAUCUCUCCAGCCCUUAUCUAGCUUUCUUAUACAGCCCAAGAUCACCUGCCUAAGAAAUGGUGCUAACCACAGUACGCUGGAUCCUCCAGAAUCAAUCAGCAAUCAAGUCAACCCCUGAGAGACAUGCUUAUAAGUCAAUCUGACCCAGUUAAGUCCUCAAUGAGAUUCUCCUUUCAGAUGACUUUAGGCUUUGUCAAGUUAAAGUUCAAGCUAACCAGGACUAGGGCCAUCUUCCACUUUCAGGAUGUGUGCCUUUUUGGUGAAGUGUAUUUUUCAUAGCCACUCACUACCUUUCAUAUAUGUUGUGAGAUAUUUGUACACUGUGUGAAGACAUAUUGCUGUGAUUGGUUUAAUAAAGAAUUGAAUGGCCAAUACCUAGGCAGGCGAUGAAUCUAGGUGCUCAAGAGACCACCAGGAGACACAGAAGCAGGAUGGGCGGUGUGUGACAGAAUGCUGAUUAACAGAAAUGGGUUAAGUUAUAAGGGCUAGUUAGGAACAAGCCUAGGCUAUAAGUCGAGAUCUCAUGAUUAAAGAAGUCUCCAUGUCAUUAUUUGAGAACUGGCUGGUGGGACAGAAAAAGACUCCUUACACAUGUAAAUACUUAUUAUUCUGUUACUCAUGUACACCUUACCAAAAUGGCGGGAACAGGUACUGUCCAUUUCCUACUACUGGUCUCACCAGACCUUUUAGUGAAUGUUCCUGAGAUCUCAUUACCUAAAGCAAACUAAACAAGAAAGAACUAACAACCUUUCCAAACUGACUUGUCUCUUUCCUUUCUUUUUUUUAAAAGAUUAUUUAUUUAUUUAUUUAUUUAUUUAUUUAUUUAUUUAUUUAUUUAUUUAUUUAUUUAGUAUGCAGUGUUCUGCCUGCACGCCAGAAGAGGGCACCAGAUCCCAUUAUAGAUGAUUGUGAGCUACCAUGUGGUUGCUGGAAAUUGAACUCAGGACCUCUGGAAGAGCAGCUAGUGUUCUUAACCUCUGAGCCAUCUCUCCAGCCAGACAUGUCUGUUUCCAACACAUUAUGGAAGGCUUAACAAAGUCUGCAUGAAGGAAAUGAUCUACCAGAGGUUCAAAGCACAGACCGACAGAUGUGCUCUAUCCUUAUCCCUCCUCUCUACACCCUUACUUUGCACCUUUUCUUGCCUAAUAAAAGGAAAAGCAAACGACAAGCCACAUGCUGAAGGCACUAACUAUGAGGUUUA